UGAUACCAAACAAUGAUACAAGUUUUACACUGUGAAGAUUUCAUCUUCAUCUGCAGGUGUAAUAGACUCUUCCUUCGUUCUACACCAGUUGUGUUGUAAUGGUGUCUUGGAAGGGAUUAGGAUAUACUGUGAAGGUUUUCCAAACAGAAUGCUGUAUGAUGAUUUUAAACAAAGGUACUGCAUUCUGAACUCUUUUCAGAGAGCAAGUUUGUGAGCAGCAAAAAAGUAGCUGAAGAACUACUUGGCUACUUGGAGAUAGACCAUACUCAGUUCCAGUUUGUAAACACUAAGGUAAAUAGGAAAUUUCAAGGAAUACAUUUGGAAAAAAGUGGGA
ensembl:lncRNA